rnacentral:tmRNA from 1 species
GGGGCUGAUUCUGGAUUCGACGGGAUUUGCGAAACUCAAGGUGCAUGCCGAGGUGCGGUAGGCCUCGUUAACAAACCGCAAAAAAAUAGUCGCAAACGACGAAAACUACGCUUUAGCAGCUUAAUAACCUGCUUGAAGCCCUCUCUCCCUAGCCUCCGCUCUUAGGACGGGGAUCAAGAGAGGUCAAACCCAAAAGAGAUCGCGUGGACGCCCUGCCUGGGGUUGAAGCGUUAAAACUAAUCAGGCUAGUUUGUUAGUGGCGUGUCUGUCCGCAGCUGGCAAGCGAAUGUAAAGACUGACUAAGCAUGUAGUACCGAAGGCGUAGGAAUUUCGGACGCGGGUUCAACUCCCGCCAGCUCCACCA